UAAGGCACCGAAGGCUGCGUCUGUGUCCCUAGGGUUCAAGCCAGGCUGCAAAGAUCACAGCAGACAUCGGACCGAAUUCUACAGCCUGUCUCCACACGGCUUAGAGAACCAGUCAACCGGACGGAACACAUGCACCGGCGCCGAGGCACGGACUCAGCUUAAACUCAUCGGACUAGGAGGGACUGACACGGCCUCGCUGCUGCAGUGCACCACGGCCAGGCCACUGUGGCCACCGCAGCGUGCCAGCCGCCUCGCCCACCUUCCUCCCUCUUGGGCUUUGGCAGCCAGAUAUUUAUUGGGCACUUCCCGGGUGUGCUCUGUUGAUCUAACUUCAAGUGUUGCCCUUUAAGCACACGGGAGGGACUCAGU